AAGACCCACCAGUCAGAAUAGCCAUUUGAAUGGUUCUUCUGUUGGACCCAGUACAUUGGUGAGCAACAAGCAAUGGAUAAUCAUUCAGAUUCCAGUGAAUUACUUGGAAAAUAACUGGCCAGUUAGGUAUGCUGCAGUUCACCAGACGGGCUCAUUUGUUGCCGUUGCUGGUAAGGCUGGCAUUGCACAUUACUCUCUUAACACGAGAAAGUGGAAACUCUUUGGGAAUAUCUCACAGGAACAAAGUAUAACAUGUCGAGGAGGUCUCGCGUGGUGGAAGGAAUUCAUCAUUGUACCUUGUUU